rnacentral:rRNA from 1 species
ACUAGCAGUCAUAUCACCCAAAGCAGGGUUGAGCCUGGUAAGUACGUGGAUGAGAGACCUCCUGGGAAGCUAUGGUUGCUGCUGGAA